rnacentral:lncRNA from 1 species
AUGGUAUCAGAGCAGGUUAAAUUAAAGGGAGAAAACUAUGAAGAAUGGGCUCGUUCACUUAGAACGGAACUUCGAGCAAGAAAGAAAUUUGGUUUUGUUGAUGGAUCAAUCAGCAAAUCUGACGAGGAAUCUUCAGAUCUUGAAGAUUGGUGGACUAACAAUUCCUUGUUGGCCUCUUGGAUCAUGAACACAAUUGAACCUUCAUUGUGA